UACAGAGACUGCAAGCGUUAUUCGGAUUCACUGGGCGUAAAGGGUGCGCAGGCGGCCAAGUGUGUGAGGCGUGAAAGCCCGGGGCUUAACCCCGGAAUUGCACCUCAAACUACAUGGCUAGAGCAUUGGAGAGGGUAGCGGAAUUCACGGUGUAGCAGUGAAAUGCGCAGAUAUCAGGAAGAACACCCGUGGCGAAGGCGGCUCUCUGGGACGGUACUGACGCUGAGGCGCGAAAGCCAGGGGAGCGAACGGG
rnacentral:rRNA from 1 species